GAUGAACGCUGGCGGCGUGCUUAACACAUGCAAGUCGAACGGAAAGGCUCCUGCUUGCAGGGGUACUCGAGUGGCGAACGGGUGAGUAACACGUGGGUGAUCUGCCCUGCACUUCGGGAUAAGCCUGGGAAACUGGGUCUAAUACCGGAUAGGACCACAUUUUGGAUGGUGUGGUGGAAAGUUUUUCGGUGUGGGAUGAGCUCGCGGCCUAUCAGCUUGUUGGUGGGGUAAUGGCCUACCAAGGCGUCGACGGGUAGCCGGCCUGAGAGGGUGUACGGCCACAUUGGGACUGAGAUACGGCCCAGACUCCUACGGGAGGCAGCAGUGGGGAAUAUUGCACAAUGGGCGCAAGCCUGAUGCAGCGACGCCGCGUGGGGGAUGACGGCCUUCGGGUUGUAAACUCCUUUCGCUGGGGACGAAGCGUUUUUGUGACGGUACCUGGAGAAGAAGCACCGGCUAACUACGUG
rnacentral:rRNA from 1 species